CAGGCUUAACACAUGCAAGUCGAGGGGCAGCAUGGUCUUAGCUUGCUAAGGCCGAUGGCGACCGGCGCACGGGUGAGUAACACGUAUCCAACCUGCCGUCUACUCUUGGACAGCCUUCUGAAAGGAAGAUUAAUACAAGAUGGCAUCAUGAGUCCGCAUGUUCACAUGAUUAAAGGUAUUCCGGUAGACGAUGGGGAUGCGUUCCAUUAGAUAGUAGGCGGGGUAACGGCCCACCUAGUCUUCGAUGGAUAGGGGUUCUGAGAGGAAGGUCCCCCACAUUGGAACUGAGACACGGUCCAAACUCCUACGGGAGGCAGCAGUGAGGAAUAUUGGUCAAUGGGCGAAAGCCUGAACCAGCCAAGUAGCGUGAAGGAUGACUGCCCUAUGGGUUGUAAACUUCUUUUAUAAAGGAAUAAAGUCGGGUAUGGAUACCCGUUUGCAUGUACUUUAUGAAUAAGGAUCGGCUAACUCCGUGCCAGCAGCCGCGGUAAUACGGAGGAUCCGAGCGUUAUCCGGAUUUAUUGGGUUUAAAGGGAGCGUAGAUGGAUGUUUAAGUCAGUUGUGAAAGUUUGCGGCUCAACCGUAAAAUUGCAGUUGAUACUGGAUAUCUUGAGUGCAGUUGAGGCAGGCGGAAUUCGUGGUGUAGCGGUGAAAUUGCUUAGAUAUCACGAAGAACUCCGAUUGCGAAGGCAGCCUGGUAAGCUGCAACUGACAUUGAGGCUCGAAAGUGUGGGUAUCAAACAGGAUUAGAUACCCUGGUAGUCCACACGGUAAACGAUGAAUACUCGCUGUUUGCGAUAUACUGCAAGCGGCCAAGCGAAAGCGUUAAGUAUUCCACCUGGGGAGUACGCCGGCAACGGUGAAACUCAAAGGAAUUGACGGGGGCCCGCACAAGCGGAGGAACAUGUGGUUUAAUUCGAUGAUACGCGAGGAACCUUACCCGGGCUUAAAUUGCAGAUGAAUUACGGUGAAAGCCGUAAGCCGCAAGGCAUCUGUGAAGGUGCUGCAUGGUUGUCGUCAGCUCGUGCCGUGAGGUGUCGGCUUAAGUGCCAUAACGAGCGCAACCCUUGUUGUCAGUUACUAACAGGUUCCGCUGAGGACUCUGACAAGACUGCCAUCGUAAGAUGUGAGGAAGGUGGGGAUGACGUCAAAUCAGCACGGCCCUUACGUCCGGGGCUACACACGUGUUACAAUGGGGGGUACAGAGGGUCGCUACCACGCGAGUGGAUGCCAAUCCCCAAAACCUCUCUCAGUUCGGACUGGAGUCUGCAACCCGACUCCACGAAGCUGGAUUCGCUAGUAAUCGCGCAUCAGCCACGGCGCGGUGAAUACGUUCCCGGGCCUUGUACACACCGCCCGUCAAGCCAUGGGAGCCGGGGGUACCUGAAGUGCGUAACCGCGAGGAGCGCCCUAGGGUAAAACUGGUGACUGGGG
rnacentral:rRNA from 1 species